rfam:Triticum aestivum genome assembly, contig: Triticum_aestivum_CS42_TGACv1_scaffold_392737_5AS
GUAGUAUUCCCUCCGUCCCAAAAUUCUUGUCUUACAUUUGUUUAGAUACAGAUGUAUCUAACACUAAAAUGUAACUAGAUACAUCCGUAUUUAGACAAAUUUAAGACAAGAAUUUUGGGACGGAGGGAGUACAGA